rnacentral:lncRNA from 1 species
GUCCUUCAAGGAUGGGGCACGGGUAGGUCGGGACCCAGCUGUGAGAGAGAGGACGACUUUAGGGGGAGCACUGGCGCCUCUAGACCCCUUGCGAGCAGAGGCGGAAGGAGGGGGAGCUGCUACCGGGCGAUCUGUCCCCAGAAGGCUGGUCAGCAGUCACAGGGAGAGGGGAUUCACCUAUCUUGAGGUCCUUAUUCCUCUUCCUCCUGUUCUUCACCUUUCUCCAAGGUUGAUCCUGCUCGGGCAGAGCUGGAGUCGGUUGAGGGGAGUCCCUAACAUCUGUAGGGGACGCCUGAAUAGAAACCGUGGAAGGCUGCAAUCGAACCGGGUCUAUAUCAGACUGAGGUGGGAUGGGGGCAUCCACUGCCCGAGGCAGAUCAGGAUCAACUUCUGGCCUCCGCA